rnacentral:tRNA from 1 species
UGGCCCGUGGUGUAAUUGGCAACACACCUGACUCUGGAUCAGGCAUUCUAGGUUCAAGUCCUAGCGGGCCAG